UACGUAGGGUGCGAGCGUUAAUCGGAAUUACUGGGCGUAAAGCGUGCGCAGGCGGUUUUGUAAGCCAGAUGUGAAAUUCCCGGGCUUAACCUGGGAAUGGCAUUUGGGACUGCAAGGCUCGAGUGCGGCAGAGGAGACUGGAAUUCCUGGUGUAGCAGUGAAAUGCGUAGAUAUCAGGAGGAACACCGAUGGCGAAGGCAGGUCUCUGGGCCACUACUGACGCUGAGAAGCGAAAGCAUGGGGAGCGAACAGG
rnacentral:rRNA from 1 species